rnacentral:misc_RNA from 1 species
GCCUUUGCUAACAGCCACAUAAUAUAAUUGUUAAAUAGUUCACUUUUGUGAGCACUGCCUGAGCGACAAUUUGGUUUCCAAAAUAGAGCCUAACUGCUUGCUUAAAGAAGCUUCUACUCUUCACUCAUAAGCUGGUACCAAGUUUAUCAUAUAAUUCACUCCUUUAGACAUAUAUGAAAACAAGACAGUAAUUCAUCACCAAAUGAAUGCAAUACGCAAGGACAAUGUUGAAUAGUAAAAUUCUGAUCAGGUUAAUACCUACUGAAAAUGGUGAGAAAAGGAAUAUAAAAACAACAUUUUCAAAAGGGAAACAAAAGAAAGAGUAAAUGUAGGAAAGAGAAUAUUAGAAACUGGAUCUUAAGUGUGUAAAAUAUAUUACAUGGCACCAAUCUCUUGCUUGGGUCUCUCUGUGUGUAGAGACAGAGAUUACCUUAUGAACUAG